CCUACGGGUGACAGCAGUGAGGAAUAUUGGUCAAUGGACGAGAGUCUGAACCAGCCAAGUAGCGUGAAGGAUGACUGCCCUAUGGGUUGUAAACUUCUUUUAUAUGGGAAUAAAAUGUUCCACGUGUGGGCUUUUGUAUGUACCAUAUGAAUAAGGAUCGGCUAACGCCGUGCCAGCAGCCGCGGUAAUACGGAGGAUCCGAGCGUUAUCCGGAUUUAUUGGGUUUAAAGGGAGCGUAGGUGGAUUGUUAAGUCAGUUGUGAAAGUUUGCGGCUCAACCGUAAAAUUGCAGUUGAAACUGGCAGUCUUGAGUACAGUAGAGGUGGGCGGAAUUCGUGGUGUAGCGGUGAAAUGCUUAGAUAUCACGAAGAACUCCGAUUGCGAAGGCAGCUCACUGGACUGCAACUGACACUGAGGCUCGAAAGUGUGGGUAUCAAACAGGAUUAGAUACCCUGGUAGUC
rnacentral:rRNA from 1 species